rnacentral:snRNA from 1 species
UUGGCAGUUUGGCAACAUAUAUACUAAAAUUGGAACUAUACAGAGAAGAUUAGCAUAGCCCCUGCACAAGGAUGACACACAAAUUCAUGAAACAUUCCAUAUUUUG